rnacentral:rRNA from 1 species
UACGUAGGGUGCGAGCGUUGUCCGGAAUUAUUGGGCGUAAAGAGCUUGUAGGCGGUUUGUCGCGUCUGCUGUGAAAAUCCGGGGCUCAACCCCGGACUUGCAGUGGGUACGGGCAGACUAGAGUGUGGUAGGGGAGACUGGAAUUCCUGGUGUAGCGGUGGAAUGCGCAGAUAUCAGGAGGAACACCGAUGGCGAAGGCAGGUCUCUGGGCCACUACUGACGUGAGAAGCGAAAGCAUGGGGAGCGAACAGG